rnacentral:rRNA from 1 species
AGAGUUUGAUUAUGGCUCAGGAUGAACGCUGGCGGCGUGCCUAACACAUGCAAGUCGAGCGAAGCACUUUGAUUGGAUUCUUCGGAUGAAGAUAAUUGUGACUGAGCGGCGGACGGGUGAGUAACGCGUGGGCAACCUGCCUUACACAGGGGGAUAACAGUUAGAAAUGACUGCUAAUACCGCAUAAGACCGCGGAACCGCAUGGUUCUGAGGUAAAAACUCCGGUGGUGUAAGAUGGGCCCGCGUCUGAUUAGGUAGUUGGUGAGGUAACGGCUCACCAAGCCGACGAUCAGUAGCCGACCUGAGAGGGUGACCGGCCACAUUGGGACUGAGACACGGCCCAGACUCCUACGGGAGGCAGCAGUGGGGAAUAUUGCACAAUGGGGGAAACCCUGAUGCAGCGACGCCGCGUGAGCGAUGAAGUAUUUCGGUAUGUAAAGCUCUAUCACCANGGAAGAAAAUGACGGUACCUGACUAAGAAGCCCCGGCUAACUACGUGCCAGCAGCCGCGGUAAUACGUAGGGGGCAAGCG